rnacentral:rRNA from 1 species
UGGUAGUCCACGCUGUAAACGAUGUCGAUUUGGAGGUUGUGCCCUUGAGGCGUGGCUUCCGGAGCUAACGCGUUAAAUCGACCGCCUGGGGAGUACGGCCGCAAGGUUAAAACUCAAAUGAAUUGACGGGGGCCCGCACAAGCGGUGGAGCAUGUGGUUUAAUUCGAUGCAACGCGAAGAACCUUACCUACUCUUGACAUCCAGAGAACUUUCCAGAGAUGGAUUGGUGCCUUCGGGAACUCUGAGACAGGUGCUGCAUGGCUGUCGUCAGCUCGUGUUGUGAAAUGUUGGGUUAAGUCCCGCAACGAGCGCAACCCUUAUCCUUUGUUGCCAGCGGUUCGGCCGGGAACUCAAAGGAGACUGCCAGUGAUAAACUGGAGGAAGGUGGGGAUGACGUCAAGUCAUCAUGGCCCUUACGAGUAGGGCUACACACGUGCUACAAUGGCAUAUACAAAGAGAAGCGACCUCGCGAGAGCAAGCGGACCUCAUAAAGUAUGUCGUAGUCCGGAUUGGAGUCUGCAACUCGACUCCAUGAAGUCGGAAUCGCUAGUAAUCGUAGAUCAGAAUGCUACGGUGAAUACGUUCCCGGGCCUUGUACACACCGCCCGUCACACCAUGGGAGUGGGUUGCAAAAGAAGUAGGUAGCUUAACCUUCGGGAGGGCGCUUACCACUUUGUGAU